rnacentral:lncRNA from 1 species
GGAUACAAUGCAGGUGGCUAAGACAGAUUUUCUAGCUUUUAUAAUUAAGGUUAUUAACUGCUCUGCCCAAGCAACUACACGUACAGAUCGCAUCAGGAUAAUAAUGCAAGCUGCAAAGACACAUUUGGACAUGGCUAGUGUGCCUGUGGAAGAGGUGAUGAAAAAGCUAUCAGAGGGAAAUGUUGAAUCACAGCCUGAAGGAUGACAGGAACCCCAUUAACCAUAUUACAGUGGAAUGCUAGAAGCCUAGUGGCGAAUGGGCAGGAAUUUAAGAAAUUUGUAUAUGAUCUACCUGUUUUACCUGACGUUUUAUGUAUACAAGAGACAUGGUUAGUCCCUCACUUACAGUUUGUAGUCCCGGGUUACACGUCAGUACGGAAAGAUAGGAGGGAAGGGCAUGGGGGUGGAUGUUGCACCUUUGUGAAAGAGGGUCUGCCAUACAGGGAAUUAAUAGUGGGUGAUGAUAGUGAGUGUGUGGCGGUGGAAAUGUGGUGGACAAGAGGGGAUAGUGUCAUAAUAGUUAAUUUUUACAAUCCCUGUAAUGACCUAACAGUGGAGUAUCUGGAAAGAGUGGUGCAGAGAGAGGGUAAAAGGGUGGUGUGGUGUGGGGAUUUCAACGCACAUAACUCUCUGUGGGGUUGUGAUGUCACAAAUAGGAAUGGUGAAGUUUUAGAGGAGUUCAUGGACAAUGAGACACUUGUAUGCCUAAAUGAUGGGCGAGGCACCAGAGUGAAUGUUAGAACUGGAGCACUAUCAGCUCUGGAUCUCACAUGUGUAUCCAGUACAUUAGCCGGGUUAAGUGAGUGGGAUAUACUGGAGCAUUCCACUAUAGGAAGUGAUCACUUCCCUUUAAUUUGCAAAAUAGCUGUAGAAGUAAACAGAGAGGUGAAUUGGUGUCCGGGGAAGUGGCAUUGGAAAGAGGCAGACUGGGAAUUGUUUAAUGAAGUUUGUGAAACCAGGGUGGGCCAGGUACAGAUCACAGGAGAGGUCAAUGACAUUGCAA